rnacentral:rRNA from 1 species
GUACACGCUGUGACUAGCAUAUCAAUAAGCGGAGGAAAAGAAACUAACAAGGAUUCCCCUAGUAACGGCGAGUGAAGCGGGAAGAGCUCAAAUUUGAAAUCUUAAAGGGUUUCCCUUUACGAAUUGUAGUUUAAAGAAGUGUUUUCUGUUGAGGUUUUGGUAAAAGUUCUUUGGAAUAGGACAUCAUAGAGGGUGAGAAUCCCGUAUUUGACCUUUACUUUCAACUUUGUGAUACACUUUCAAAGAGUCGGAUUGUUUGGGAAUGCAGUCCAAAAUGGGUGGUAAAUUUCAUCUAAAGCUAAAUAUUGGCGAGAGACCGAUAGCGAACAAGUACCGUGAGGGAAAGAUGAAAAGAACUUUGAAAAGAGAGUUAAGCAGUACGUGAAAUUGUCAAAAGGGAAGCGUUUGACACCAGUGUUGUUUUUCUGAAAAUCAAUUAAAGAACUGUUUAUGCUAAGCUGUUUAGACUUUAUCAGCUAACUGUUUAGUUUUGAGCUUUUCUUUAAUGCACUUUUCAGUUAACAAGUCAACAUCAAUUUCUUUUGCUGUAAAAAAGCUUGAGGAAGGUGGCUUGAGAUUCGUCUUAAGUGUUUAUAGCCUCUUGCCUAUGCAGUCGGAGAGAUUGAGGUCUGCAGCGUAGAUCCUUCGGGGCUAAAUGCAUUUGUGCUAAGUUAUAGCAUUUUAUAGACAACUUGUUGACUAUGAUUUGUCUUGUAGCUUACUCGCUUAUGUUAUUUUACCUACGCUUAGGAUGUUGAGUCGUAGAGCACGCAG